GCACCGUGAGUCCUUCCAUGCAACUCCUAACACCUAUAUGCGUAAAAACAUGGAGAAUCUGGUGGACAGUAAACCCUGUGGAUGGUUUGAUGAGGGAGUACCCUGAUGGCAUGGCAAACGAGAGGUCCAAGACAAGUUGAAGCUGACGUGUGAUCCUCAGGUUGUUGAUUGGAGCGCUGCCGAGGCUUCUCUCUUUAGGGUUCUCAUCGGAACCUACUAUGAUAACUACUGCCCUAUAGCACGACUCCUAGGAACCAAGACCUGCAGACAG